GACCCAGAAGAGCCGCCCUCCCC
rnacentral:piRNA from 1 species